rnacentral:rRNA from 1 species
AAAUUGAAGAGUUUGAUCAUGGCUCAGAUUGAACGCUGGCGGCAGGCCUAACACAUGCAAGUCGAGCGGAAACGAGUUAUCUGAACCUUCGGGGGACGAUAACGGCGUCGAGCGGCGGACGGGUGAGUAAUGCCUAGGAAAUUGCCCUGAUGUGGGGGAUAACCAUUGGAAACGAUGGCUAAUACCGCAUGAUGCCUACGGGCCAAAGAGGGGGACCUUCGGGCCUCUCGCGUCAGGAUAUGCCUAGGUGGGAUUAGCUAGUUGGUGAGGUAAGGGCUCACCAAGGCGACGAUCCCUAGCUGGUCUGAGAGGAUGAUCAGCCACACUGG